GGGUGUCCGCACUGUUGUGCUUUGGCAGGUCAUAGCGCUGGUCGGGCCGCCAGCG
rnacentral:ncRNA from 1 species